UGUGUGUGAAAAAAACAAUGAAAAUGGAGGAUUUGGACCCAACUGCAUGUUUCAUGGUGGAUGAUGACCUUCUCAACUUCUCUUUGGAAGAUGAAACUGUUGAAGAAGAUGAUGAAAAAUCAACUAUUACUAGCAAAGACCCACUUUCUUAUUCUUCUUCGUCUUCAACAAACCCUCUUGUUAGCCUUCUUCCCCACCCUGAGUGUGUAGAGGAAGAGUUGGAAUGGCUGUCAAACAAAGAUGCAUUUCCAGCGAUAGAGUUUGGCAUUCUUUCGGAGAACCCGGGUAUGGUAUUUGAUCACCAUAGCCCGGUUUCAGUGCUGGAGAAUAGUAGCAGCACUAGUCACAGCAGUGGCAAUGGUGUUGUUAGUGGAAAUGCUUAUACGAGCUGCUGCGUCAACUUAAAAGUUCCGGUUAAUUACCCUGUUCGUGCACGGAGCAAGAGAAGACGUAGAAGACGGAGAGGUGGAUUUGCUGACAUGCCAAGCGAGCAUUGUCUGCCGGUGACACAACCGAGUUUCAAGAACGUUAAGCAGCGUGAGCCAUUGCUUUCUUUACCAAUGAAUUCAGCUAAGAGUGCUGCUAGCAUUGGGAGGAGGUGCCAACACUGUGGAGCCGAUAAGACCCCACAAUGGCGGGCAGGCCCUCUGGGGCCAAAAACACUGUGUAAUGCUUGUGGUGUGCGCUAUAAGUCAGGCAGGCUGUUACCAGAGUAUCGCCCGGCUAAUAGCCCUACUUUCUCGGCUGCUGCGCAUUCAAACUCCCACCGGAAGGUUUUGGAGAUGAGAAAGCAUAAGAUUGGUGUGGGAGGAAUGUUGAUUCAUGAAGCUUGUGGAUAUAGGGUAGGACAGUAGUGAGUCAUCUGCAGCGUCUUUUCAGAUAUUUUUCUUCAUUUACUAUAGUUAGCAUAGACUAUAGGUUUUUGUUGUAAUGGUCUUGAUGGUCGGUGAUUUGCUUUGGUUUUCCAUCAAAAUCCACUAGGAAUUUUGAACUAGUUUGUUUUAUUAUAUGCUUUUAAGAUAGAAAUCCAGAAAGAAGAGCUCCUAACAAAGAUUUGGUUGUUUUUUUA
rnacentral:misc_RNA from 1 species